CUGCAGGAGGCAGAGCGCACACCACGCCCUCGGGGCUCGGUCCCAGCUCUUUCACACGCCUCGCGCCGCUCCGCCCGCACCCCCAGCUCGCGCUGCGGCGGCCAACCUCAGCCCCGGAGACCGUCCGAAGGUCUCUCGAGCUUUCAGUGACCAGCCAGGGCGCGCGGCUGGCUAGAGCCGUUCCCCAGCAGCAGGCCUGGCUCUCCCUGAUCAGCGAGCGCGGAUACCGGGUCACCUCCCUCCCUCUGCCGGACUCCAGCCCGACGCCAGGCCUCUGGGGGCAAGCGCUGUGCUUCAGAAGAGAGACGGGAUUUCACCAUGUUGGCCAGGCUGGUCUCGAACUAACAGCCUCAGGAAUUGCCCUUCCAACCAGAACCAAGACAGACUGUCACCUCAAAUAUAAGAGGAGUCUCAGCACUGUUCCUCAGCGCUCUUCUUCCCCAAGCUGCCCUGUGAAAUGGGGACACUGGGGAAGGCAGAGGCAAUGGCAUGAAGGCUCUAAGCCAUUUCAGAGGAGGCACUAGCUGACAUGAAGAUGAAAACCACAGAUGACGGGGCCUGAUAAACCCUGAACCAAAACCCUAAGUGUGUACCAUCUUGGACAGAGUCUGUGAUUUUGACUAUGCAUGAGAAGAAAGAGAAUGCAAGUGCUCUCUUCAUUCAUGGAGUUUUGAACCCAGAUGCCUCAGAGAGUGCCUUCCACCCAUCUCAUAUAUGAGUCAUGAAUGGCAAAUGAUACCUGAGCAGGGGAGGCCUAUUGGUCCUGCCGUCCCUCUCAAGGGUGCCUGCCGGUGCAGAUCAGGGCUGGAGUCCUAUCUUGGUGAAGGGCAGGAGGAGCUCAGGUCGGCUGCCCUCUGAAGCCUCUCCAGACAUCACCACAAACGGCUACCAUUACCCAGCCGCCCUUCACGCCCCAGAUACAUUGUUUUUCUUUUUUUUCUGAGGCUCUGUCACCCAGGCUGGAGUGCAGUGGUGUGAUCUUGGCUCACUGCAACCUCCGCCUCCCAGGUUCAAGCGAUUCUCCUGCCUCAAUCCCUGAGUAGCUGGGAUUACAAACAUGUUCCAUCCACCAUGCCUGAAUGGUUUUUGUGUUUUUAGUGGAGAUGGAGUUUCACCGUAUUGGCCAGACUGGUUUGGAACACCUGACAUCAGGUGAUCCACCUGCCUCAGCCUCCCAAAGUGGUGGAAUUACAGGUAUGAGCCACUUCACCUGGUCAGAUGCAUAGUUUUUCUCAUGCUUGUCCUUGCACAUCUCCCGGGUGCAGGAAUGUUUGGAGCCCAUGAAGUGAUCUGUGCUGAACCCCCAAACCUGAAAGUCAGGGCCAAUUCUCUUUGCCUCCCAUACUAGGUGGGGCCUUAGGUUUUGCAUGAAAACUAAAAGCCCACAAGCCCAAAGGUUCUCCUCUCUUUACCACUAUUUCCAAACAUAAACAAGGAAAUUGUUGGAUGAGCCAAAAUAACCCCAAGAAGAAGGAACAAGUGCUAGUGACAUCUUCACAUGAGGAUGGAAGCCUCAUGAAUUCAGACUAUUCUAAGCCGCAGGUGAUCUCAGGUGGUCUUUGUCAUGCUUUUGGACCCGAGUGCUGGAUGUCCUUCUAGGAUAACUGAACCACUUCACCCCGACAGCAAAACACCACAUCACUCACAUCCCCAUCCCAAACCGAGAGGAGGUUCUGCAGUAGGAAGUGGCACAUGGAUAGAAUCUAUAGCCAGAGUGGUUCUGACUUUAAUUUCAGUGCCUGGAGAACACAGUCACAUCUCUUAUCACUUUUCACAGGACAGCUUGGGGAAGAGGGAUACUCAGGAAUGGGGCUGGGACUCCUCCGAAGUUCGAGGUGACAGUCUGGGCUCUGUUUUGGUUGGAAGGGCAGUUCCUGAGCUGCAAAGCCUGGCGGAGGAGGGGAGGGAGGGUGCUGGAUUUAGUCCUCUGGAGAGAACACUACAGACUGAAUGCAAAGGCAGGGCUUCUGCUUUGAGUCUGAAAUGAGGGAAACUCAUGGUGGAGGACAGCUAUUCUGUCACUCUGCAGAUCCAGCAUUAUUCCACCAUAUGCUUUUCACGGAUUAGGAGUGUAGUUACAAUCUUGGGCGUUUUUAAAACUGAUCUUUGCACCUGCUGGUAGCAGAGAGCAACACUUUCCCCGCCCCCGACUUCCUUUUUGAGCUGGGAGGGAGUAAAAUCCAGCUCUGUUGUUGGAGCUCUCUCUGGUGGCAGUUUCCGAAAAUGAUCCAGCCCUGUGGAUUUUGCGGAAGGUUGGCAACAACUAGGCAUCAUGGGCAUUCAGUAGGAAGCAGCGAGAGGAAAGAUGUUCCGCCCUUUCAGAGACGGGGCGGAAGGGCCAGCUGUGCCCUCUGCAAGGUGGCCGGCUGUUCAGAUUCUGAAGAGGUGGAAUUCGCCGGAGUCCGCCCUGCCAACGUGCGUACGUGUCCUGGGGGCUGGAUGAUUUGCGCAGACGACUGGGAAACCCGCCUCGUGCAUCUUUGCUUGCCUUUUCCUAGAUCUGUCUCAGCCCCGCGCAGAUUGGCAGCUUCUCGGGCGCUGAAAUGGCGCCUCAGCCACCUUUGCGGGGCGCCCCCUUCAGCCUUCCUGGUAGCAUCUGGCAGUGACUUCCUGGAGACCCGUAGGCCGGGACAGGUCACCAAGUGAAGCAGUGAGCCUCCGAGGCUGAUGCUGGAUAACCCACUGCGUCCGCCACUCUCCUGGCCGCCUGCCGGUGCUGUGUGCGUCCUUCUAGGUCUCGACAGAUGGUGGCGGCUUUGACAGUUCGUCCUCCCCGCGUGGACGCUCGUCCGCAGUCACUGCCCUCGGACCGCCAGCUCUGCUUAGGAGAUGGGGCACAGCUGGGGUGGGAAUUUGGAGGCAGCGGUGAAGUGGGACAGGAGCUGUGCUGUGGAACAACAAAGUCAACACCCAGGCAUGGCUUGUGCUGAACGCUGGAGAAAGGCUUCAGGGCCCAAGCGAUCAGCCUCCCAAAGUAUUGGGAUUAGAGGCAUGAGCCACCUUGCCUGGCCGAAAGUGCUCUUUAGCAGCACCAAGAGCAUGGGAUGUGGACACACGAGACCUGGGCUCCAGGCCUGGCUCUGUGGCUCUGGCCCAGUCACUGCCUUCUCUCAACCCAGUUUCUGUUUAAUAACCCUGGUUGAACAUGAUGUUUUCCAAAGAUCUUUUCCCAGAUCAAGUAUUUUCUUUAAUAUACGUAUAUAUUUUCUAAAUGGCUGUUGGCGUGUUAAGUGACCUGGGAAUACUUGCUACCGCUUUCAACGAGAGAAACUCAAGAAUCUGAAACUUAGUAUUUCCACGAAUUUGCGCAACAUGGGAGGUCAUCGCCUGGACACCACCGCCCCCUUGCGGCAGCUCAUUUAAAUUUGCAGAUGGUGACAAGGGAUUCAAGGGCUUGAAGGUUCAGCCCUUAUAAACCUGGGUUAAACCGGUUGGAUAAUGUCCCCAAAGCUUUAUUCACCCCUGGAAGGAACUGUAACUAGAUUGGAGGCUUUAUCUGCUUAAUGCCAUAAUGCCUUUCCCCAGCCUAAGUGGAUCUAGAGCCAGAUUACCCCAAAUCCACUUGUAAAUUAACUCACAUUAAAAUUUGCAAGCUUCUUGGGGAUGGAGUGAGGCGGUAAAAAAAAAAAAAAUUUUUUUUUUGCAAGGUUCGGAAAGCGGUAUGCUCCUACUCCAGAGUGGAUUCAUUGAAAGAGAAAAUGACCCUAAGCCCAUGUGGCAUUUCUGGUUAUUAAAUCCCCCAUUUGUAUGGACAUAUUCUUUUCUUUUUUGUUUUUAUUGAGGUAAAGUUUACAUAACACAAAAGUAACCAUUUUAAGUGACUAAUUUAGUGGCAUUUAGUACAUUCACUAUUUUAUGUAAACCAUUACCUCUAUCAAGGUCCAAAAUAUUUUUAUCAUUCCAGAAUAAAACCCACACCCAGGAUGUCGUUAGGCUCCAUUCUCCGGCAGACAAAGGCCCUCUGAAGCCUUUCCAGACAUCACCACAAACGGCUACCAUUACCCAGCCGCCCUUCACGCCCAAGAUACAUUGUUUUUCUUUUUUUUCCGAGGCUCUGUCACCCAGGCUGGAGUGCAGUGGUGUGAUCUUGGCUCACUGCAACCUCCGCCUCCCAGGUUCAAGCGAUUCUCCUGCCUCAACCCCUGAGUAGCUGGGAUUACAAACAUGUUCCAUCCACCAUGCCUGAAAGUUUGCUUUCUGUAUGUAUGGGUUUACCUAUUUGGGGUAUGUAAUAGAAAUAUAUAUAUUUUUCCA